AGAGUUUGAUCCUGGCUCAGAACGUACGCUGGCGGCACGCCUUAUACAUGCAAGUCGAACGCAGUAGCAAUACUGAGUGGCGAACGGGUGAGUAUAAUGUGGGUAUCUGCCUUUUGGUUUGGAAUAACAUGAGGAAACUUAUGCUAAUACCGGAUAAGCCUUCACAGGGAAAGUUUUAUACGCCGAAAGAUGAGCCUGCACUUGAUUAGUUUGUUGGUGAGGUAAUGGCUCACCAAGACAAUGAUCAAUAGCUGGUCUGAGAGGACGAUCAGCCACAUUGGGACUGAGACACGGCCCAGACUCCUACGGGAGGCAGCAGUAAGGAAUCUUGCACAAUGGGGGAAACCCUGAUGCAGCGAUGCCGCGUGAGUGAAGAAGGCCCUUGGGUUGUAAAACUCUUUCGUCGGGGAAGAAAAUGACUGUACCCGAAUAAGAAGGUCCGGCUAACUUCGUGCCAGCAGCCGCGGUAAUUC
rnacentral:rRNA from 1 species